UACGUAGGGCGUAAGCGUUUAUCCGGAAUUAUUGGGCGUAAAGAGCUCGUAGGCGGUUUGUCGCGUCUGCCGUGAAAGUCCGGGGCUCAACUCCGGAUCUGCGGUGGGUACGGGCAGACUAGAGUGAUGUAGGGGAGACUGGAAUUCCUGGUGUAGCGGUGAAAUGCGCAGAUAUCGGGAGGAACACCGGUGGCGAAGGCGGUUCUCUGGGCCUUACCUGACGCUGAGGAGCGAAAGCGUGGGGAGCGAACAGG
rnacentral:rRNA from 1 species